ACUCCUACGGGAGGCAGCAGUGGGGAAUCUUGGACAAUGGGCGCAAGCCUGAUCCAGCCAUGCCGCGUGAGUGAUGAAGGCCUUAGGUCGUAAAGCUCUUUCGCCAGGGAUGAUAAUGACAGUACCUGGUAAAGAAACCCCGGCUAACUCCGUGCCAGCAGCCGCGGUAAUACGGAGGGGGUUAGCGUUGUUCGGAAUUACUGGGGCGUAAAGCGCGCGUAGGCGGACCAGAAAGUUGGGGGUGAAAUCCCGGGGCUCAACCCCGGAACUGCCUCCAAAACUCCUGGUCUAGAGUUCGAGAGAGGUGAGUGGAAUUCCGAGUGUAGAGGUGAAAUUCGUAGAUAUUCGGGAGGAACACCAGUGGCGAAGGCGGCUCACUGGCUCGAUACUGACGCUGAGGUGCGAAAGUGUGGGGAGCAAACAGGAUUAGAUACCCUGGUAGCGACUGA
rnacentral:rRNA from 1 species